AAUCAACCUUUACAGGGCCGGAAUUUUUCCCUUGAAAUUCGAUAUUUUUUAGAGGUACGAUUCAUGUACAUAAAUAGUCAACACGUCCGGUGGUGUUUCCGAGUUAUCUGCUGACUUCUAAAAGAGUCAGGCAGCCCUUUAAAGGUUAAAUCUCAAAUUUUCAGAACUAUUAACAAUUCAUGGUCAGCUACAGUCAUUGUAUAAUUGACAAACAGUUCGGGAAUUCCGUUUGGAAUACAACGACCAGUUACAGAAGUACUGGUCAGAUACCACUGAGCACACACGUCGUUUGAAACGUAGGUAGCAAGCUGGUCUGCCGUCGCUGUAUCCACAUCAAUUUCAAUCUUGCAUAUCAUUGCGGUUCUUAAUGCGGUCAAGUUAUUUGCCAAAAUUGACGAAUUCAACUGCCACACAAAAUUAUCUGUCGGACACUUCGGCACGCAUACCUGCGGCGUAUCGCAUCCUUGGGUCACAGACGUGACCGCUACACAUUUUGUCAGAUCAAAAAAUACCAAAUAUGGUCUGUCCUCGACAUCUGUAUGCCUACCGCAUAUCCUUCCUUCACUAUCAGUUGGGUAUACUAACGUAUCUAUAUCUCCAUAAGUAUAAGCUGAAAUUAUAAGGAAUUUUAUCAGUGUGUUUCAAAGCUGUCUUUAAACAUAUAUGAUCAGGGUGAUGUAAAAAAAAUGUACUGGUUCCUUGUAGUAUACUCGUAUUCAAAAUUGCGUACCGUAAUAUCCAAUUACCGCCCAUCCUACCACAAAUGCUAAGAAGAUAAUCAAGCAAAAGCAAUCUGUACAUGAUCUGCCCUUUAGAGGUCCUCGAUAUUUUGGAUCGAACUGCAUCCUAUCACCUAAAAUUGGUAAUUUACAUACUUAAAUCAAUAAUAGGCCUUUUAUAGUUCAAACAUUUAUCCAGUUCACAAAUUCGUUUCAAUAGUUUUGGUACUAAGCCAUUUUGACAAUGUGUUGUGACAUUCAAAUAAUCUUAUCAACCGCUUAUCUCAAUAACGAAGUAUACAUAUUAUAUUGGUAGUGAUCUAUAUUGAUCUCUUACCUGGAAUGGGAAAGUAUCGAUAGAGACGGUACUGCUUACAUUUUACAAUAGAAAUUAAAGAAGUUUUUGAGUUACAAGCACAGUGCUCAAAACUAUCGCAGAAGUUGCUUGUUGAAAAAUUUGAAAACAGUUGUGGAUCGUUCGGUUUGGCAUAAUCCUUUUUUGGUAACUCACACAAAACUCUCUACAGGUACAAGACAUUUUUGACACGAGAAUUCAAAGCAGUCUGUGACGUGACUCACGUUUCUAUACAAUGAGACAAUAAGCAUACGUACCAUGUUUGUCGACCAUUGUUUGCACUUUGGUUCUUUAAAUAGACGUUAUCACUCUGACUUUAAGUACUUAUAUAAAGCCAGUCAACGUUAUAAGAAUUUUUUUUACUUGUCCAGUGUUACUUAUUAACUUGUUAGGUCUGCAUAUUAUUUUGCCCACUCCGGUUUCAUGCUCUUGGUUCAAAUUAUUAACGAAUACUUGGAUAGCAUAUGCUUUCAGUAACACUUCUACUGAUAACACAUUAAUCUGAUAAGAUGAGAUUUGGCAGCGAAGUAUGAAUCACCGGAAGUAAACAAUCUUAUCAAUUUUUAAUUGAGUCUGAUAAAUUGCAAAUUCUUUACAGGAUAUGCUAACCAUAUAUUGAUUGAAAAUAUGCACAGCAGUAACUUGAAUCAUACGAAAUCUCAGAAUUAUGUGAGUCGUCGAAAUUCUCAUUAUUUGCGCGUUAUCGGUUCUAGCUAUCCCGAGUUUAUAGUUUCCAACUCUGGUCAAGAAACAUUUAUUUACUGAAAAAGUAACGCCCGGUGAUUUGGAAUAGAGUAUAAAAUAACAAAAUAAUGGAAUCGUUGUUAAGACUAUUGAACAGUUCGUUGCGAAAUCCAAACAUAUCAACAUCUACACUAUCUAGAAGAGUUAAUUCAUAUUUCAUGAAACAGGGAAUGGGUCGUUUUUUGUUAGACUUAUGUACACCUUCAGUGCCGACAGAUUUGUUAAUUGAUUAAAGAAAGAUACGCAAACAAAAACAAUAUGAUUGAUAGCACUAUAUGACUUGAUAAGAACCAAUUUAUGUGUACAAGAUAUGAAGUAUAAAAAAAAUUCUCCCAAGAGAACAUUUCGUGUAAUGGCUGUGCCGGAAUAUCGGUAAGGUCGUCUUAAACUACCGGGUUAUUGAAUUGAUGCAAUGACAAUAUUGCUCUUGCCUGGUAUUCAUCCCAGAUCAAAAACCAUUGUGUUUCUAGGAUAAAAUAAAAAUUUACUUGAUAUCAUAACAUAGAAACUAAAAUCACUAAAUAUCGAAUGAUUGGAUUUGUAGGGUGGUUCAUGGUGUGUUGGCAUUCAUAAAAUAAGGUAAAAACCUGUCCAGAACUCCAUGGCUUUUUCCUGGCAAUAGCUUAUUUGCUGUGCACCUAACUGCUCGAUCUUCGUGCAUCGUCUUGAUUGUCUCCUAAGGGGAAGGAGAAAGUUUCUUCUUUGCUUCGAACUGGUCUCUCAUAGUAGGAAGAUCAACCUCAGCAACUGCGGAUGGCUCAAGGGUGAUCAAUUCAGGUUGAAUUUUGUCCAGAAGUGCUUUCACUUCAGCCUCGCGGCGUUGGCUCUUUGUCUGGAAUGGAUUACUCUCAAGAGCAUCAAAAUUGGCUUCGGCACUCCCAGGAACAAGUAGAGAUUGAAAUCCUUUGGCUGUUGCGAUGCCCAACACAUCUUCAUAGGGGCAAAAUUGUUGCCCUGUGAUUCCCCAAGAACUCUUAUGGCGCAAAUAUGGUUUUCCAUUUUCAACCCAGUCUCUAAAAUAGACAUGACAUUGUUACUAUACAGUAGAACAUUCUAUCUACAACUCGGUUUAUUAAUUCGUUCUUAUAAUUACUUGUAAACUUCCACUAUAUUGCCGGAUGCAACAGAUAACAACCCUUUCUGGCUGUAGGACAACUCCUGAGCUGCAGAGCGUAACACCAGAGUAUGCAGAGGGCCUGAUAACUUGCGUACAUCCCAAAUUCUUAAACUACGAUCUGGGCAGCUAGUUGCCAUAUAAGUGCCGUGAGGGUGAACUGCACAAGCCGCAAUGGCUUGCUUGUGACACAACAUUUUGGCCACAGGCUCCCUUGUAUUUGGAGACCACAUAGAGACCACGCCUUUUGCAUGUCCAACGCACAAAAUAGCAUUGCUAGGAUUUUGCGUCAUUACCUGAAAUGGAAAUUCAUAAUUAUGUCAAAUAUUGAUGUAUUCAAAUUUGUUCUUCCUUACGUUCAGACUUACCGACAAAUUUCCAAGUUUUGUAUUAUAGCGCGAUAUCAUUUUUCCAAUGGAUACGUCAAGCCAAGCAAGAUAUCCCUCUUCAGAGGCGCUUGCCAGAAGAAAAUGGUAAGGAAGAAACUCGAGCCGUGUAACCUUGUUCAUAUUUUUUAAACAGUGAAUUUCAAUUCCCUGGUUAUCAUAAAUGUGAACCCACUGUUUUUGGGCGACAGCAAACAUUGUUUCAAUAUGGAGCCACGCGACAUCGUGCACGGACUCCAUGACAUUCAUUUCGCAUGCUAGAGUUUUAGUUACCCAAUCGAAAGCUGCUACGUGACCUAGUUUUCCUCCAAGAAUCAGAUGUCUACCGUUCCGUGUGUAUCGAAGGCGAUAAGAACCGAAGUCCAGAUUAAUAUUGAAUUGUUUAGUGGCGCUUGUAAUAUCGACAUUCUCUGCAAUCUGACCCUGCGUAUACUGAGUCGUGGUUUCCCCAGCAUCGGGUUCCAGAAACCCUUGCGCCUCGGUCAGAAGCAAUUCCGUACGUGCAGCCUGUUCGGUUGAGUAUUCUAUGGCACGUUCCUUUUUUUCCCAACGAUCCCUGUGAACCUUAGUACGAAUUCCACUGCGAUUCGAUGUCAAAUUUAUCCCCGGCCCUCUGCUGUGCUUUUCUAGCUUCUCCUUGGCCACUGGCGCCUUGCCUGGGUAUUUACCCCUUUUGGUUAACCUCAAUGAUCUCACGUCGUCGUGUUUACGUCUCCAUUUCGGACGGCUAAUGUCGACUAUUGUGACGAUUUCGUUAAGAUGUUUACCCUCCGCAUCUUUCGCUGACGCUUCCAUUUCCUGUUGUUUAAUUAUUCGCACGACAAAACUGGGUUUUAGUCACUACUGUGAGGUUAGUUCCAUCGGUUAGCGUGUGAAUGCGGUGCGAAUCAAAGCCAGAACAACCAUACUCGCGGAAACACGUGCUUUGAACUCUUUUUUUCUUGAUGUUACUCAUCUCAUUUACUCUGUCGGUAAGAAUGGUAUGGUUAUGAAGGUAAUCAAUAAUGUACACAGAUUGACGAGGACGUAUUACAAAUUAAAAUAGUUUGUUGAUUUUUAUUGCGUACACGACUUUAUGUAUUUGUACAUAUUUUUUUAACAGUGUUUUAACAAGUUUUGUCGUGAAAAGGCGAAUAAAGUAAUCCCAUACGAACUAGUGAUCAUCUUGUCAACAGUAAUUGUAUACGAAAUAUAAUUUGUAACGUAAAACUGCUAAAGUUCCAGUCACAGAACUUUCUUAUACAUUUCUCAUGUACAAAAGUGAUAAAC
rnacentral:lncRNA from 1 species